rnacentral:tRNA from 1 species
GCCUGGGUGGCUCAGUCGGUUGAGCGUCCGACUUUGGCUCAGGUCAUGAUCUCACUGUUUGUGGGUUCGAGCCCCGCAUCAGGCU